rnacentral:lncRNA from 1 species
CACAUUCUGAGCGAUCCGAAACAUCGUCAUCAUCUCAUUAGCGUCUUCUCUGGCGAGCUCUCAUUGGCUAUUGCUGAUCACCGUCCUCAAAACUUCUCGUUGCACAUCGUGCCGAUAAAAUCAAACCUGUUUGAAAAUACCAAGACAUCUGGAACUGCUCAAAGACGAGAUCGGUAGCCUUCAGAUUGCGCAUUUGACCGCUCACAUCUAGCGUGUGUUGGUGACGGCCGCACACCCCAAGUAGGCAACAACAUGGGGAUUUUGUCUCCGAUCUCAAACACUUGUCUGGGACAGCUAAAUUGUGGCCAAAAUCCUGUAGUGUACACCUGUCAGUCUCCCUCAGAGUUAAAAGACCGUUCCCAUCCAGGAACCAUGUUCGCGUCUUCAGACUGUUUACGGAAACCACCCUGGCUCUCCUCCUGUCCUACUGCCCUGGAAUGGAUGUCGUCUUCAGACUGUUUACGGAAACCACCCUGGCUCUCCUCCUGUCCUACUGCCCUGGAAUGGAUGUCGUCUUCAGAAUAUACCCACUCUAGCCAGUAGACCCUACAGAUUCAGUAUAUCAGCUUGGAACAAAGGCCUUGCUGGUGGUUCUGUGCCUUACCCUACUCUCUGCUCAUCUUCCUCUAUGAUGAAAUACAUCCUGCGACAAAAUUCAGGAGGUUGGGUGGACAAGGAGUAUGAAGGAUCUUGUUUGGAGACUUCUUCCUGGUUAACCUGAUCCUGUGGGUGGAGGGCAGCCAUCCCCUUCGCCGCUCUGGUGGCCAUCUUGGCUUUGAGGUUUGCCAUCUCCAUGCCCUUUACCUUUGUGGGCGCCUAGCCUACUUCGGCUUCAAGAGACCUGCAAUUGAGCAGCCAGUGCGAACCAAGA